rnacentral:rRNA from 1 species
UGCAAGUCGAGCGCGCCCUUCGGGGUGAGCGGCGGACGGGUUAGUAACGCGUGGGAAUAUGCCCAGAUCUGCGGAAUAGCCUCUGGAAACGGAGAGUAAUACCGCAUACGCCCUUCGGGGGAAAGAUUUAUCGGAUUUGGAUUAGCCCGCGUUGGAUUAGGUAGUUGGUGGGGUAAUGGCCUACCAAGCCGACGAUCCAUAGCUGGUUUGAGAGGAUGAUCAGCAACACUGGGACUGAGACACGGCCCAGACUCCUACGGGAGGCAGCAGUGGGGAAUCUUAGACAAUGGGGGAAACCCUGAUCUAGCCAUGCCGCGUGAGUGACGAAGGCCCUAGGGUCGUAAAGCUCUUUCAGCUGUGAAGAUAAUGACGGUAGCAGCAAAAAAAACCCCGGCUAACUCCGUGCCAGCAGCCGCGGUAAUACGGAGGGGGUUAGCGUUGUUCGGAAUUACUGGGCGUAAAGCGCGCGUAGGCGGACUAUUAAGUCGAGGGUGAAAUCCCGGGGCUCAACCCCGGAACUGCCUUCGAUACUGGUAGUCUUGAGUUCGAGAGAGGUGAGUGGAAUUCCGAGUGUAGAGGUGAAAUUCGUAGAUAUUCGGAGGAACACCAGUGGCGAAGGCGGCUCACUGGCUCGAUACUGACGCUGAGGUGCGAAAGUGUGGGGAGCAAACAGGAUUAGAUACCCUGGUAGUCCACACCGUAAACGAUGAAUGCCAGACGUCGGGUAGCAUGCUAUUCGGUGUCAC